GCCGACUUAGCUCAGCGGUAGAGCAACGCUUUUGUAAAGCGUAGGUCGUCGGUUCAAAUCCGACAGUCGGCUCCC
rnacentral:tRNA from 1 species